UACAGAGGUCUCAAGCGUUGUUCGGAUUCAUUGGGCGUAAAGGGUGCGUAGGUGGCAUGGUAAGUCGGAUGUGAAAACCCGGGGCUCAACCCCGGGCCUGCAGUCGAUACGGGCAGACUAGAGUGUGGUAGGGGAGACUGGAAUUCCUGGUGUAGCGGUGAAAUGCGCAGAUAUCAGGAAGAACACCCGUGGCGAAGGCGGCUCUCUGGGACGGUACUGACGCUGAGACGCGAAAGCGUGGGGGAGCAAACAGG
rnacentral:rRNA from 1 species